rnacentral:rRNA from 1 species
AGCAGCCGCGGUAAUUCCAGCUCCAAUAGCGUAUAUUAAAGUUGUUGCAGUUAAAAAGCUCGUAGUUGAAUUUCGGGGUUAGUAAGUUGGUCGUGCCACUGGUAUGUACUGGCUUUACUGAUUCCUCCUUCUUGUAGAACCGUAAUGCCAUUAAGUUGGUGUUGCGGGGGAAACAGGACUGUUACUUUGAAAAAAUUAGAGUGCUUAAAGCAAGCUAACGCUUGAAUACAUUAGCAUGGAAUAAUGAAAUAGGACGUUCGAUCCUAUUUUGUUGGUUUCUAGGAUUGACGUAAUGAUUAAUAGGGAUAGUUGGGGGCAUUAGUAUUCAAUUGUCAGAGGUGAAAUUCUUGGAUUUAUUGAAGACUAACUACUGCGAAAGCAUUUGCCAAGGAUGUUUUCAUUAAUCAAGAACGAAAGUUAGGGGAUCGAAGACGAUCAGAUACCGUCGUAGUCUUAACCAUAAACUAUGCCGACUAGGGAUCGGAUGAUGUUAAUUUUAUAAUGACUCAUUCGGCGCCUU